rnacentral:rRNA from 1 species
GCUGGCAGUCACUUCUUCUGGCUGCAUGUGCUUGCCCCUAAUAAUCUUUAUCCCAAACACCUGUGCAUGAUUUCGAGGGUUUCCGAGUUGAUUUUGCUGUCGUCUCGGAUCCCCUUGCUUUUCCCACUUUUUAUACACUGCUUGCAAUAUCGAAUGUGCUUUGUGCCGCAAGGCAUUUAACGCAAUAUACAACUUUUAACAACGGAUCUCUUGGCUCUCGCAUCGAUGAAGGACGCAGCGAAAUGCGAUAAGUAAUGUGAAUUGCAGAAUUCAGUGAAUCAUCGAAUCUUUGAACGCACCUUGCGCUCCCUGGUAUUCCGGGGAGCACGCCUGUUCGAGUGUCGUGAAAUUUCUCAAGCUGAGAUGUUUUUCUUAGUCUUGGUGUUGGGCUCUGCCGUGUCUCUUAUUGGGAUGGCUGGCCUUAAAAGCAUUAGCUGACUCUCAUGUGAAUAAAUUGGUUCUACUCGGCGUGAUUAAUGAUUUUGACCGCUGAGGACAUCUUUGGCGAUGGCCAGUUCUCAUUUGAGUUGCUUCUAAUCUUGGUUGUACGGAUUGUUAGUCUGUAUGCCUCGUUUUUCAGCUUUGACCUCGAAUCAGGUGGGACUACCCGCUGAACUUAAGCAUAUCAAUAAGCGGAGGAAAAGAAACUAACAAGGAUUCCCCUAGUAACGGCGAGUGAAGCGGGAAAAGCUCAAAUUUAAAAUCUGGCAAUCUUUGGUUGUCCGAAUUGUAAUCUAGAGAAGCGUUUUCCGUGCUGGACCGUGUACAGAUCUCCCUGAAUACGACUUUUACUUCCUCUAAUGACCAGAUCUCUGACGCUUUUCUCU